ensembl:lncRNA
AUGGUAUUUUGGGUUUGGAAACCUAGAGAGCAAGGAUUCAAUGCCAAGUUUCUGGCAAGAGCAAAUUUAUGCAUAGUUUUAAAACAUACAUCAAUGUCUCAUAUACCAAUCCUUACAGUCUUGCAGAAAGAAGGGUGGGACACUCGGUGCCGAUCAGUGGACACAUAUUUACUCCUCGAUAUGACCACCAGCACCUCGCUCGCUGGCUCUCUCUCUCUCUCUUUGAACUCUGUCCCGGGACGCCCAGUGAUGGCAUCCUGCCGAUGCCUACUUAUUACACAAACCGGCAGUGGCGCAGGUUGAAGACAAGAGUGAGCCUACUAGGCACUGGAGUAAGUGAGUGAAGUAUGCUGUGCGCUCGUGUGUGUGUGUGUGUGUGUGUGUGUGUGUGUGUGAGAGAGAGAGAGAGAGAGAGAGAGAAAGAGCACGACAGCCCUGAGCUUUCAAAGGGGAGCACACGGGCGAGGAGUCCUCAACCCAGCUGCCGCCAGGGCAGAGUUGGAAAGGGAAAAGGUCCAGGAUGAUGUGCCUGCCUGUCAGUUCUCAAAGAAAGACUGGCACGGGGGACCCUAAGCCCAGGAACGGUCCGUCAUCCUGCGGGGCCGCUCGCCUUCCCAAGCCCACGAAGCCGCCCGUCCUCCUACAGCCAAGCCAAGGAAAAAGCCCUACUUACUGCUGGUGCUCAUGAUGAUCCGGCGCUGCUCUUCUCAUUCAACAAAGGGAGGGAAAACCGUCCUUUAAACGCUCUCCGGUUCUUUGCAGCUCUGUUGCUUUCGCUCUCUUUUCUUAAAGGAAUAUAGUAUAUAAUCUAUUCUCCCUCAGAGAAAUCGAUGAUCGCCAUCUAAUUCAUCGGCAGGUGUCUCCUGCUUGAUCCCAUGCUAUUCUCUCUCUCUCUCUCUCUGGGCUUGGGUCUUUUGCCCUUAAUCUUGGGCAGGAGGAUAAUAAGGUCAGGGUGGGGUUAAAAAAAAAAGAAAGAAAGCAGGAAAGAGAACGAGAAUGGGAGACGGAGAACACGGAGGAGCCGUGGGGCAAGGCGCCCCCCACUGAUGACACUCCCCCCCAGUCUCUCGUCACUGAUGACACCCCCCCCCAGAGGUCUAGGGCGGGCAGCCUGCCUUCCAGCAGCCGAGCGCGGGCUGAAUCCGGAGCCGGUCGCGGCUGUCAUGCAAGGCAGACCGAUUUCCCAGCUCAAGCUCUUCUGACGGCUCAAGGGGGUGUGGAUCAGGGGAAGGACAGCCAGCGGAGGGGAUGGGUGGGUGUGCUUCUCUGUCUGUCUGUCUCUGUGUGUGUGUGUGUGGAGAGAGUCUACGUACACAGCCUGCUGAGCGAGCCGAUCCUCUCCUCCGCUUCUCUCCCCCCUCCCCUCUCGCCCCGCUUCCUCUCGUCGUCGUUCGCGUCAGGCUAAUGAUCCCAAGCGCGGCUGGCGAGGAAGCCCCGCCCAGCGCUCACCUCGCUCCUCUUCAGGGCAAGUUUGUCAAGCGGCGCCUGGUUCAGGUGCAGCGGGAGGAGUUUGCGCGGAGACGGGGCUGAGUGGCUGCACGCUGCUGCGAUGAGGAGGAAAGGCGGCGAGAGACGGGGGGAGCGGCGGCGGCCCGGGGGGGGGUAAGAGAGGACGAGGGAGAGAAAACCAGCUCUACUGGGCUGGGUUUGGGGUGGUUUAUUGCCGGGGGGGGGGGAUAGGAUGAGACUGCCUGCUGCCCUCUGCUGGCCGAAGCUGGGAGUGGUGUCCUCGCCACCAGCCAGGCAUCCACUUCGUAAAUGGGGGGAAAAAACAGGGGGCGGGCGUGGGGGGGGGAGUGAUAAGCGAAGAAAAUGAUUUUUUAAAAAAUAUGCCAAGGCAAGAGUGGCGUGUUGUAAAUGUGCUUCUUUCUUGCGCGUUUAGUAUACAGGGCUUUGGUCUAGCUUCCAGAGUCCAUUCAUGGACCCUUGAGUUCACCGUUCUCCAUCUGUAAAAUGGGCACAGCAGGGACCUGGGCUACCAUUUUCUGGUGGCCGGAGAUUAGAGGCGACAGACACAUAUGUGAAGCCUGACAUCCAUAGAUUUUGGAAAGUGCGGUAAAUAUUAAAUUGCCAUAAAAUUGUAUGGCUAGAGCCUUCGUUGCACUUGCUUUUUAAAGGCGCUUUAUGCUAAAGCAGUGGUUCCCAGCAUUGAGUAUUGAGUCCCCAGAUGUUCUUGGACUACAGUUCCCAGAAGCCUUCACCACUAGCUGUGCUGGCCAGGAUUUCUGGGAGUUGCAGUCCAAGAACACAUCUGGGGACCCAAGGUUGCAAACCACUUUACUGAAGAGACAGCCUUCGUUGCACUUGCUUUUUAAAGGCGCUUUAUGCUAAAGCAGUGGUUCCCAGCAUUGAGUAUUGAGUCCCCAGAUGUUCUUGGACUACAGUUCCCAGAAGCCUUCACCACUAGCUGUGCUGGCCAGGAUUUCUGGGAGUUGCAGUCCAAGAACACAUCUGGGGACCCACGGUUGCGAACCACUUUACUGAAGAGAGAGGAAGAAUUACAUGUGUCCUGCAACACAGAGGGUAGGAGGACAACCAGACCCAUUUUCCUUAAAUGUUUUCUUUUGGUAGGCUUCCAAUGAGGUGGCCAAGGUGGCUAGUCAUCCAGUGAAAUGAAGAUUUAACAGAUGUUUAUUGACAAUCCUAUCCAGUGGUCACAUUUCACAAGGUCCUCUUUCCAUCUGAGGCUGUCUGUAGAGAAACAGAUAUUUCAGGAGAAUGCGGCCUCCAUCCCCCCCACUCCCACAAUCAUUCUGUGAUGAGACACUAGGGGGGUAUAAAUGACCGUGGUGAUGUAGAGACCCUCAAGAAUCUUGCCCACACAAGGUACACUUGUUCAGCUUUCCAUAUUUCUGUAAGUAUGAGGACAGGUGUUUUGUGUACCAUGGCAGGGCCUUUUCCCUAUAUAUUCAAGGUGAGGAGCCCCACCACUCAGUCUGUGAGUCGCUCUGGAUGAUAAAUCGGGUAACUCAGGAGCAACUGGUUGUCAAACCACUUCCUAGCUUUCUGGAACUGAGGAUGUUGUGAAGUAGGAGCUUCUGAGAUAGGGGAGGGGAAGGCUUUUAAUCUGGCCUGUCUGGAUCCACAGUCCGACCUGUGGGUGUUUGGGUCAGGCAUUCCCCUUCCCGAAUGCCCACCCUCCCAGAAGGAGGACAGGAGGGGAGCAGGAGGCGGACGAUGCAGAGCAAAUAAUCUGAAUGGGGCAAAAUCUUUAUUUCCUUGUGAAUGCCAAGAGAUCCAUAUGCUUUCUAGGCCUCUCUUAACUCAAUAGAGGCUUGUUCCUCUGUAAACUCUGAUGCCAAAACUCACAAAACCAAAACACGCUCCCAUCACUCGAAACAUGGUCACAAAGUAAGAAGAACACAUACCAAUAACUCUGAAAUAUCCUGAUUUGAAGCUGGGUACAUCACUAUGCAGGAUGACAGCCAGCCCCCCAACCCCCGAUCUGAAUGUGGUGAGGCUGGCUGCACAGGAACAGAAUGGAGGUGGCAAUGGGCUACGUGAGGGCCAGGAAAUUGGGACUGAAUUCUGACCACAGGAAGAUGCUGUUAGUGGGCAUUCCUGGGUUCAGGAAAUAUGUCUGGGGAGUGUGGGUGGGCUGACUCUGAAUGUGAAUGCGCUCUCUGAGGAAGCAGGUAUAUGGUCUGAAGGUUCUCCUGCAUCCAGUUUUGCCCAUAGAGGCCCAAGUGGCUGCUUGCGGGUAUCACUGGUUUGCUAGCAAUGCUCUUUCCUAGGUCAGGAUUGCCUGCCAACAGUAAUCCAUGCUUUCAUAAGAUCACGUUUUUAUUACUGCAGGUUGGAUUUGAAUUAAAUCUGCUUGAUUUAAUUCAUGAUUUAAGCCACCCCUUAGGACUUGAUUUAAUCAGGUGAUUUUUUUUCCACACACAAAAAGCACCCUCUUUCUUAUUAUAACCUUUAUCCAUAGUUCCAUUUGCCUGAGGAGUCUCCACCUCCAGUAAUCCCCCAGUAUUGAUAUUUCCAGUUUUUCCAAAGUGUGCACCUUAAGAGAGAGAGAGAGAGAGAGAGAGAGAGAAAGAAAGAAAGAAAGAAAGAAAGAAAGAAAAAGAAAGAAAGAAAGAAAGAAAGAAAGAAAGAAAGAAAGAUUGCCACUCUAAGGGAAUAAGCAUUGCUCAAGGAAACUAUUGAAAGCCAUCCUGCAGGCUUUCAUAGGCUUCCAAAAUGGCCAACUUUAUAACACAGUGGUGUGAGGUGGGCGAAAGCAGCAGGUAUAACUUCAGUUAGAGUUGGGGGGGGGAGGAAAAGACUGUUGAGGCUGUUAUUUCUCAUCUCUGUUAAUCUCUGGAAACACAAACCCCGUUUGAGAACUGCAUCUCUGAUAGUACCAACCAGACUGAGUAGAGGAGGAGACACAAGGGUUAUCCUAAAUCAUCUAUACAGAAGAAAAUGGACUCUCAUAACUUUGAAGCUCCUGUCAAAGAGCUGUUGGACCCAAUUAAUAAAGCUUUUUUAAAAACAUUGUAUGAAUACUUU